AGGUUCACACCUGCACCAGAGCAAAAGAUAAAGUCCAAAAACAUCCUAUUGCAAUGACAAACCCAACUGAUUAAAGUCUAUUUAACAUCUGUCUAUUGCAGUAAAUCAGAGCAGCUUAUUCCCCAGCAGCUGGAGGAGGAGGAGGAGGACUCACCUGCGCUGCAGCCGGAGUGAAGAAGGGAGGAAGGGUGUGAGAGUGAGAGAGGGAGGGGAGCUGGAUGUGAGUCUAUGCAGCAGGAUAGCGGCACGCCGUCUCUCCUCCUGCCUUUGUCUGCUUCAGUCUGAGAGCCGAGCCUCCCCGGAACAGCCACUGGGUCCUAAAGAGCUGCGGACCCGCCCACUGUGGAAAGGAAGCUAUGCUCUGAUAAGAAAAGGAAAGAAGAAGAAGCGGGCUAGCAGCUCUGUGUGUGAGCUCCACUGUCAGAGUCACGCAAGAGAAGAAAGCUUUGCAAAGAGACGACAGAAGACGUAGACUCUGCACGGUGGACUGGGGUCUCUUUGUCAUCAUCUGCUCUCCCCUCAGGCAGAAAAGCUUUACUUUAUAACUCAGCUGUUGUCACAUUCUGGAGCCUCUCCUUUGCAUGUCACACAUAACUCUAAUUCACUCUGAUCAUUGGCUGCUACACACCUCCCUCUGUGAGAUGAACCUCUACAGAAGAGCGAAGCACAAGCAGAGUUUACAGGGUUGUGUGCAAAUGGGGGAAGAGGCGAAGACGUUGUUAUUUUUGCUCUUAGCUGGGCUUUUUGUUUAAUGGAGACCCCCUAGAAGGGAACAAAAAAGAUCAGGAUUAUCCAGAAUCUGGUCAUACAGUAUGAUUCUUUAUUAAAUGUUGAACUUUGCUGGCUGGAGGUGCAGCCUGUUGGUUUUACUGCUUCAUAUUCAAGAGGUUGAAUCAUCACUGCUGACUAAUGAUUUUGCCUUUAGCUGCUAAAUCACAGGGUGACUGGCUCCCAUGAAGUUGUUCUAGUUGAACAGUUGAACUUUACCAUAAUACUCAGCCAAAUAUUAUUUUCUUAGCUGUGGUCAUCCCUCACGCAAUAGGCUAUGAUCUGGAGG